rnacentral:piRNA from 1 species
UAAGCCUCUCAGCCUGGAUUUCUGGAAA